rnacentral:rRNA from 1 species
CAGAGGGGGCAAGCGUUAUUCGGAAUUAUUGGGCGUAAAGGGCGCGUAGGCGGUCUGGCAAGUGGAAGGUGAAAUCCCUCGGCUUAACCGAGGAACUGCCCUCCAAACUGCUUGGCUUGAGUCCGGGAGAGGUGAGUGGAACUCCCAGUGUAGCGGUGAAAUGCGUAGAUAUUGGGAGGAACACCCGUGGCGAAGGCGGCUCUCUGGGACGGUACUGACGCUGAGACGCGAAAGCGUGGGGAGCGAACAGG